AGAUGCUCAUUCCAUCUCUUAUGUUCGCCUUAAGGCCUCAUAAACUCAGGAAUGACGCAGAGCCGUUUACGGUGCUUAUCGUCCACUGACAGAUGUCGCUUCGGCCUCAUCAGACACCAUGGACACAACGUUGAGUGAAGCACCAAAUA
rnacentral:misc_RNA from 1 species